UGUAGGCAAGCACGAGAAUGUC
rnacentral:snRNA from 1 species